rnacentral:lncRNA from 10 species
UCCUUAGGAAAUUAGAACUAAGAUUUUCAGUUUACUUGCUUGGGAGGAUCAGCGACAUUUCGGUGCAGGAGCACGGAAUACUGAUACAGAAUAAAAUACUUGGUCAGUGGAAUCUCUUCAACAAAAUAGAAGAGAAGCAGUCAUGGAGUGAAGAAAUAAAUCAUCUUUGUUUCUACUCAUCUGUCACUUAUGCAAUACAUACAAUAUGUAAAAAGGAAAAAUCCCUGUGUAAUAGCCUAAGGCAACCAGCAGCUUCCACGUCGGUUGGAUAUUAAUAAAUUUUUUUCUUUACUGUAAAAUAUACCCAUCAGCUUUUUUUUUUUUUUUUUUUUUUGAGAUGGAGUCUUGCACUGUCACCCAGGCUGGAGUGCAGUGGCGCAAUCUCCACCCACUGCAAGCUCUGCCUCCUGGGUUCACACCAUUCUCCUGCCUCAGCCUCCCAAGUAGCUGGGACUACAGGCGCCCGCCACCACACCCGGCUAGUUUUUUGUACUUUUAGUAGAGACGAGGUUUCACCAUAUUAGCCAGGAUGGUCUCGAUCUCCUGACCUCGUGAUCCACCUGCCUCGGCCUCCCAAAGUGCUGGGAUUACAGGCAUGAGCCACCGCACCCGGCCACUAGCUUUUCUAAGACACUUUGUUUGUUUUUAAAUACCAGACCUCUGCUAUGACAAUGUUUGAUUUUGUAAACUUCAGGUCAAAUCAUGUCUUCUGAAAAGUAACUGCAUAUAAAACACGUUGAGACAUUUGCUUAAGAUGUUGAUCCUGGUUUCAAGUAACAGCAUAAGGGAAUUCCUUUGAAUUUUCUUUUAUCAAGCACCCUUUACUAACAUCACAAAGAUGCAUGCAUAUUCCUUCAUUUAGUAUUUAUUGAAUGUCUACUAUGUGCAAGGCACUCACCCAUGGCCUGACAGACCACAUUCAAGUACAAAGAAUCAUUAGAG